GACGAACGCUGGCGGCGUGCUUAACACAUGCAAGUCGAACGGAAAGGCCCUGCUUGCAGGGUACUCGAGUGGCGAACGGGUGAGUAACACGUGGGUGAUCUGCCCUGCACUUCGGGAUAAGCCUGGGAAACUGGGUCUCAUACCGGAUAGGAGCCAUUCUUAGUGUGAUGGUUGGAAAGUUUUUUCGGUGUAGGAUGAGCUCGCGGCCUAUCAGCUUGUUGGUGGGGUAAUGGCCUACCAAGGCGGCGACGGGUAGCCGGCCUGAGAGGGUGGACGGCCACAUUGGGACUGAGAUACGGCCCAGACUCCUACGGGAGGCAGCAGUGGGGAAUAUUGCACAAUGGGCGCAAGCCUGAUGCAGCGACGCCGCGUGGGGGAUGACGGCCUUCGGGUUGUAAACUCCUUUCGCUAGGGACGAAGCUUUUGUGACGGUACCUAGAUAAGAAGCACCGGCUAACUACGUG
rnacentral:rRNA from 1 species